AAAAUGAAAAUAAUUCAAUGAUGUGAUAAGGUUUAAAACAUGUAUUCCUCUUGUUAAGUUGGCUGUUGAGCUGUGGGUUUAUGCAAAUUAGCUGGAGUGAGUGAGUGACAAAGACACUUCCUGUGUGCGUGUGUGGCGGAGGCUUUCGGUUCAGUUCAAGAGAGAGCAGUGGCUGUUGAAGAGUAUUGGGAGAAAUAUAUAAUGGCCUGGAAGAGAGUGAACGGACGGCGCUGACAAAGUUACCAAGUACGAAAAUCAGGAAAUUCCAAGGAUCCAGACCUUGCAUGGAGCAACGAGUUGGAGGAGAUUUGACAUGAUGAUUAAAUUGAUUUUGUUCCUUAAACACAGGUUUUCAGGGCUGAAGCAAAACACCGGAGAGGAGAAUUGCUGAGCGGUUCUGGGCAAUGAAAUGACUAACCUUUUUUCCUUUUAAUUUGUUAAGCUUGGGUGGAGCAUGUUGAGUUUUUUGCCACAUGAGAUGUGUCAAAAAAGAGAGGGGUUUAAGAUUUAAUUUGUUUAAUGUGAAAGGGGUUUUACUAGGAUUUUAUAACGAUUGGGGUUGUUUGAUAAUUUAGAGAUGGUAAAACUGAGGCGGAGAUUGUUAAUUCUAAAGAAAGGAGUAAAAUGAACUGAAUUCUGUUUAGAAGAUAAAUUGCUGGGGUUAAAAAGAAGUUGUACACCAAAUUAAAGGGGAAUUGUGGGAAUAAAGGAUAUGCUUUGGGGAAAUAGUGAACAUUUUAUGAGUAGAAAAUGUGGGAUUUUUCUUUUUGAUUUUUAGGAUAAGUGGUAACAGUGACAUAAUGUUAGAAUGUUGUUAUUUUUAGGGUAGUGGAGAGCUUUUUAUGAGGAUGUUAAAAGUCUCGCUGACUCAAAUGAAUAAUAUUGGAGAUUAUAUAUGUAGAAAUGAUUUUUCAUACACAUUGCAUUUUGGGGCCUUUAACGGAGUUGUGGCUCAGAGAGUCGUCUCUUGAGGGUCAUAAACUUUUGGUUAACGUUAUGAUUAGCCAAUCUACUGUGAGAAUGACCUGAGUUUUGAAGGAUUGCACACGCUUACAGACAUACAGAGUUCAUCAACACACAGGACAGUAUUGAUUUGAGGCCUAGGGCCUGAAAUUCCUUUAGCUUUUAACUGAAUUUGAGUUGGCCCAAUAACAAAUGACAGAAAGAGGAACUGAAUAGGAGUUUUGCUUGUAACUAAACUGAGUGACAUAUAAAAUAUUGAGAUAACAGAUGCAGCUCUAACUUAGUCCUCUUAUAUAAAAAGCAGUUACAGAAUACAGAAAUACAGAAAACAGAAGCAAAGGGAGAAAGCUUAUAUAUGUUGGUUAAGUCUGAUAAAGUUUAAGUUAGAGG
ensembl:lncRNA